rnacentral:lncRNA from 1 species
CUGGAGGAGGGCAAGGCAACCCACUCUAGUAUUCUUGCUUGGAGAACCCCCAUGGACAGAGGAGCCUGGUAGGCUCCCCAGCCUGUACCCCUGACCUAACUCUCUGCUCCACUGCCACAUACACCCCACAAGUCCACUUUCAACACUAAACACAUUGUCUUCCCAGAAGACAAAACAGUAACAGUUUGAAUAACACCAGUCUACCUGGUGAAGACAGCACUGCCAGCCUGACUUGCAAAGUCACAGAGGGGAGGAAGUUGUUGAGGGAGAGCAGGUAGUGCUUCCGGGGAAAAGAGUGAAGGUGAGCAGGGUCUUGCGGAUGGAUGAGCAGAGGGGAUGAUAGGAGUAAAGACCCUCAAAGACCACGUCCUUCGUGCUUAGAUCGUGCUGGUGCCCCAACUAGGAACUGGUCUGGCCCUGGCUUCUGGAAGUUUGCAGAUGGCAUGAAGACUACAGUCCCUGAGAUGGGAGCUUAGAGGAGGGAGACCUUACGUCUGUCAGGGAAAUCAAGGAAGACUUCCAGGAGGUAGCAGUAACCUAGCUGAUUUCUGAGGGAAGAGUUAGAGUUCACCUGGAGAAUAGGGCUGUGGGGAAGGCUUGCCCAGCCAAGUGACAGGCUUGUGAAAAGGCAUGAAAAAGCCUCUCAUGUUUGGGGAACUACAAGUCAUUUGGUAUAGGUGGACCAUGAGCUGGGCACAGGCCCUGCUGAGAGUCAGGAUUUUGUUUUGGCCUGAGGAGCCAUGGAGGAAUUUGGGGCAGAAGAAUGACAUGAGUAGCCUUCCAUCUCANGACUCUGGCAUCCCCAGGAGAGCAGGCUACCAGGGAGGGGACAGCUGGGAUGGAGACCCGUGGGGCAACUAUUACAGUAGCUGGGCUUGAAGAAGGGCAGUAGUGGUGUAGAGGGCAGAUAGGCCCAGGAUGGGGGUGGGGAUGGAGGUGGGGGUGUGGGAGUUGGGGUAGGGACUCAGGAGGAGCCAGCAGAGGAGGUGGGUGGUGAGGAUGAAUGAUUUGGAAACUGGCUCCACCGUGGUGCUUUUGCCCGGAUAAAGAAAGAACACGUGAGGCAGAGCAGGUCUGGGAAGACAAUGUGUUUAGUGUUAAAAGUGGACUUGUGGGGUGUGUGUGGCAGUGGAGCAGAGAGUUAGGUCAGGGGAAGGGCAGUAGAGGGAGCCUCGGGUAGAAAGGCACCAUGAAAUACAAGGGGAGUGCUCUUUGAGGCACAAGAUAAAAAAAACCUGGGUCGCAGGAACCAGUGGGGCAGGAGAGACCUAGGAGGAAAAGCAGAUUCCCUGAGGGGCUCCUGGGAUGUGGCCACGGAUGUCCGUGGCAGGGAUGCAGCUCUGGGAGGAGGGGGCAGAAGCCAGGGGCUUGGGCAGCGAGUGGCGGACACAGUGAAACAGAGGGAAUCAAGGAUGCUCUAGACUGUGCGGCGCCUUGUGCGAGGUGGACCAGCUCGCUGACAGAGGGACGCGGGCGGCCUUGAGCCACAGCGGGGCACGUGCAGGCCUUGGUCCUGCGAGUGUGGACCAGCCCUUCUAGAAACUGACUGGGGAGGAAGGAGAGGAACGGUCAUUAACCAAGGGGGAUGCUGGGCCAGCGAGGGACUCAUUUUUAGGAUGUGACAGCCUGGUGCCAGCUGACUCAGAUGAGGGAGGAGAGUCCAUGAAGAAAGAGUACAGGACAGGAGCCUGCAGCCUGCAGGAAGCUGGGUGGCGGCCCUGGCAGGAGGGUCAAGGCUAAUGUUGUUGCCAUGAGUUUGGGGGGCUGGGCGCUGACGGGGAGCAGUGUUGAGCCUGGAGCCUAGGGCCCGUGUGUCAGUGGUGCUGCGGACAGGAGUUAGCUGAGAACCUCUGCUUUGGGGUUGGGGAGAGGAUGCCCAGAAGGGACACUGACCCUGCCUGUCCUGGGUCACCAGUGGUUCCAGUGCCCAAGAUUGGGUGACACACAGAACUGGGCAGGCCAGGCUGGAGAUGGUCUUGGCACAGAGCUUUGGUUUACUUUUUUUUUUUUUUUAAUUUGGUUGUGCAAGGAAGGUCUUAGUUGUGGCGUAUGGGAUCUAAUUUCCUGACCAGGGAUCAAACCCCAGCUCCCUGCAUUGGGAGCAUGGAGUCUUAGCCCCUGAUCACCAGGGAAGUCCCUUGUUUACUUACAAUUUUACUUUUUAUUAUGGAAUAUUUUUGAAUACACCCCAAAGUUGUGGGAAACUCAAACUCUCAUACCUAUCAUUUAGUUUCAACAGUUAUUACUAUUGGCAACAUUAUUAUCCCUUCUUUAAGUACCUUUUAAAAAUUAAAAAAAAAAAUAGAUGAUUUUUUAGAGNNNNNNNNNNNNNNNNNNNNNNNNNNNNNNNNNNNNNNNNNNNNNNNNNNNNNNNNNNNNNNNNNNNNNNNNNNNNNNNNNNNNNNNNNNNNNNNNNNNAUUAUUAUCCCUUCUCUAAGUACCUUUUAAAAAUUAAAAAAAAAAUAGACGAUUUUUUAGAGCAGUUUUAGAGUCAUAGCAAAACUGAGUGGAAGGAACAGAUUUCUCAUAUACUCCCUGUUAAAAACUUUUUUACUUGAUAAUAAUUUUAAACUUAUAGAACUUGCAAGAACAAGUUUGCUUAUUUUUAAAUAAUCUUUUUAUUAGAGAAUAUAUUCUCAGAAUGAAUACAGAAGAAAAUUAAGGUCCUCAUGACCCCACCACCCAGACAGAGGUACUGUUCUAGUUUUGUCGUAUUAGGCUGGCCAAGAAGGUUGCUUGGAUUUUCUCAUAAGAUGUUAAAAAUCCUGAACCAACUUUUUGGCCAAACUAGUAUUUUCUUCCAGUCUUUUUUCCAUGUUCAUACACAUAUUUUCAAUUGGACUGCUGAAUCUAGAGACUAACUGCCUUCCUGUCUUGUGUGUUAGCCCGAGGGCCUUCGCCCCCAAACCCCUGCACAGAGUGAGCUGAGAGCAACAGCAGUCCAUCUGAAUUUGUGAUGUGUGAUUGCCCUCAUUCCCUGGUUUCAGCUCAUUCCCUCCUCUCUGGCAUCCCUUUGCUCUUUGUUCUUCUUGGGUAACACUAGUAGAUUUCUGGUGGGAUGAGGUGCCCAGUGCUCCUUGGACCCCCAUCUCACCUGCCUCCCAUUCUCACCUCUGUGGAAUUAGGGCACCCGUGUCUGAGUCUUUCUUCCCCACUUACCUGAGAACUCUGUGAGGGCAGGGCUCAGAUCUGAUUCAUCACCCAACGUGAAGCAGAGUUAGCCUCAAGAAAUAGGUCUGGAAUGGAAUCAACCCUCUUCUUCAGCACUGCCCAUCCCCAUCUAGCUUCAGACUAGACUCAGAGCCUUACACACACUUGCAGCCACCAGCAUAGUGUGUGGCCCAGGGUAGGUGCUCGAUAAAUGGCUGUUACUGCUGCUACUAAUAACCUGGAGACUUCCCUCCGUGUCAGAGCUCCCCUGGCGUUUCCAUCUUCCCUUUCCUGCCUUCCCCUCCUUCUUCUGGAUGGGAAAGCAGAGACCACUUUGACACACCAGACGGAAGGGGCCACCCUUUGUCCCCUGUCUUCUAUAAGUCAGGAGCAAAGCUGAGUUGGCAGUGGAUUCCAAAGCAGCAGCUCCUGUGCUGAGGCUGUUUUAUAUGUUUGCAUUCCUCAAGAUACCAGUUAUCAUUAGCAGCAAUUAAAGCUAUUUUGGGAUCAGUUCAAAGCUGCCUUUGAGGUAUUUUAAGUUGGACAAAAGUCCUCCACAUGUCUAGCUUUAAGCUGAGUGUCCUGAUGUCAUUAGAAGCCCACUUGUACUUGGAGACUACAAUCUGUAUACUUUGAUUUUUGUGAACGUUUCAUAACUUUCAGGACUGUUUGUUAAAAGCGAGUUCACGUCUCCAGAGCUGUUUGGAUUACCUGAUGAGUC